CCUCCCCCGGACCAGCACCGGACGCGCCCGCCCGCCAAUCAGAGAGCGGCUCCCGAGAGGCCUCGUCCAAUGAGAGGCCGGCAACGGGGCAACGCCCGCCCUCUUGAGUGGAGGCCAAUCCGCGGGCGCUCCUGGAGCGGCAGCCAAUCGGAGAGCCGGCCGGGAGUUUUGAUUCCGCCCCCCUCAGCAUUGGGCGCGGUGUCCCGGAUGUGGCGGUGGCGGGCGUUAUAGUGGCCGGUCAUCGCUGUGAGCACAUUGUGUAUAGUGGGUAUAAAGGUGUUUGUAACAAGGCGGGUGGUGAGGAACUGGUACGUAUUGCACAGAGAUACGGUGGAAACCCAGUGCCCAGAGACUGUCAUGGUCGGGGCUCUGAGCAACCUGACCUCACUGUGCCCCUGUACAUCAAAUAAUAGAAUUACUCAGGUUGGAAUGGAUCUCAGGGAUCAUCGAGUCCAACCACAACCCAACCAUGCCACCCUCACAAGCCUCCAUUCAAUCCUGUCCCUGAGCACCACAUCCAGGGAUGGUGACUCAACCACCUCCCUGGGCUGCUGUGAACACCUUUCAGAUACUAUAAGAGAGCAAUAAGGUUUCCCCUCACCCUACUUUUCCCCAUCUAAACAGCCCCAGUUCCUUCAGUCUCUUCUGGAGAGACUCCAGCCUGGAGUUGAACUGGAUGCCCUUUAAAAGUCCACUCCAACACAAUCGACUCUAUUAUUCUGUCAUCUUUUAGCAACCGUUUUACUGUUUGGAUUUGGUUUAGUGCACAGAAGUUCCGGAGGUGGAGAAAUCUCCUUGACUACUUCUUUCUCACAAGUCUUCAUAGUUUUCAUUGUUGUUUCUACCCACCUGUAGAAAUCAUCUUCCUGUUGCGUUCAGCCACACACUGUCAGCCUUAAUGAGCCCAGUGACUGCUGUAGGGCUUGAUGCCAAGAGUAAUGAUCUUUUGUUAUUUCUGUAGGAAAGCAGCUUAGCAGGCCAUAUGUCAUAUUUCCCAGUAAAUGAUUGUUUUGAAUUGUUUCUAUUAAUGAGAAAUUAAAGGAAAUAACAGCAUCUGGUUAAUCAAAUUCUGGUUUUCAGCAUAUGAUGUUGUAUACCAAUCCCAUUCUGCUACAUUCUUUAAAAUAAAUCUUAAGUUCAGUGCAGUAAAAAUUUUUGUGUAGUUUAAUAAGGCUUUUUAUAACCAACUGUUACACCCUUUAAAUUUCAAGGGUACAACGAUUAUCACCCAAGAGCUAAGAAAUCACAAGUUGAAGCGAGUUCUACAGUCACCACAAUAGAGUUUUCAUCAUUCUUCCAGCUUGUGUCUGUAUACUGCAGAAAGAAGAGAUAGGAAGAUCAGACCUGGAGAUUGAAUGAGCUGGCCAGCAUUACGCCCAUAUAUUAAGUCAGAUGCAAAGCUGCAUUUACAACCGAAGCACCUUGCUGACAGCUUUCUAAGGAGUCUGGGCAGUCACCUUGUGGACACUCACAGGAGUUACAGAGGAGAAUUACAGUGGAGAUGCCACGAAACACUGCUGUUGAAGGAGGAUAUUCUGCACCUUUUUCUUCACUGACAUUUUGGUUGCAGACUCGCAUAUUGCUAGUCUUGCGAAGACAAGGAGGUGCACGCAGCACAGAUAUGAAUUUCUGUCUCUAUUAAGGAGCUGAGUGCUUAGGGGAGUUGUGAAGCAUUUGCUUUUUAUUUUGAAGUCUGUGCAUACAAUUUGCUAUGUUUUGGAAUAGCAAGGAUGUUAAAUCUGGAUUUGUAAUAUUUAAAAGGCUUUGUAAUUAAUGCUCAAUGAUAUAAUUAAUCAUAACAGUUUGAAAACAAGAUAAAACCAAAAACGCUAUGACAAAACAGUGUUUCUAGGUGAGUUAAUGCAUGCUCCAAGUUUCAUCAACUUUUAAAAUGGAGCUGGGGGGUCACUUUCAGAAUUAAGGUUUUCAAACAUCCCUGUGCUGCUCUGUUUUUCAGUUCUGCAUACAGGAAGUUGAUCUUGAUUAUACUGCUGCUUUAGUAUAUAAUUGUUCUAGGAACUGAAUGUUGACUUAGCGUCCUGUGCAAGAUAUUUCUGUCUCUGUACCUGUUUUAUUGUGGUAACUGAAAGGCUGGCUGGCUGUUGUAAAUACUUUCCACUGCUCCUCUAUUCAGAAUCAUCUUGUCCUCCUGCCAUGUCAGAUGGUAAGAUUACAGUACUCGGCCAUUAACUGAAUGAAAGGUAUUCAGACAAGCUUCAGACAAUCGCCAAACAGGGGAACAAUGAAAUAUCUGUUCCUGGGGUGGGAGCGAAGAGAUUCAUCCUCUUUCUUUUGUCAGACUGUAGAAGACACUAAGCUUUUGCAAUUCAAUUUUUCUUUUCACCUUUGUCACUAAUCUUUUAAGUAUAGCAAGAAUAAAGCUUUCUAGAGAGUUCAUUGACUGACCCCAUCAUCCUAAGAGUGACAAACAA